UACGUAGGGUGCAAGCGUUGUCCGGAAUUAUUGGGCGUAAAGAGCUCGUAGGCGGCCUGUCACGUCGGCUGUGAAAACCCGGGGCUCAACCCCGGGCCUGCAGUCGAUACGGGCAGGCUAGAGUCCGGCAGGGGAGACUGGAAUUCCUGGUGUAGCGGUGAAAUGCGCAGAUAUCAGGAGGAACACCGGUGGCGAAGGCGGGUUGCUGGGCUGAUACUGACGCUGAGGCGCGAAAGCCAGGGGAGCGAACGGG
rnacentral:rRNA from 1 species